rnacentral:rRNA from 1 species
GAACGCUGGCGGCGUGCUUAACACAUGCAAGUCGAACGGGAAUUACUUUAUUGAAACUUCGGUCGAUUUAAUUUAAUUCUAGUGGCGGACGGGUGAGUAACGCGUGGGUAACCUGCCUUAUACAGGGGGAUAACAGUCAGAAAUGGCUGCUAAUACCGCAUAAGCGCACAGAGCUGCAUGGCUCAGUGUGAAAAACUCCGGUGGUAUAAGAUGGACCCGCGUUGGAUUAGCUAGUUGGUGGGGUAACGGCCCACCAAGGCGACGAUCCAUAGCCGGCCUGAGAGGGUGAACGGCCACAUUGGGACUGAGACACGGCCCAGACUCCUACGGGAGGCAGCAGUGGGGAAUAUUGCACAAUGGGGGAAACCCUGAUGCAGCGACGCCGCGUGAAGGAAGAAGUAUCUCGGUAUGUAAACUUCUAUCAGCAGGGAAGAUAGUGACGGUACCUGACUAAGAAGCCCCGGCUAACUACGUGCCAGCAGCCGCGGUAAUACGUAGGGGGCAAGCGUUAUCCGGAUUUACUGGGUGUAAAGGGAGCGUAGACGGUGUGGCAAGUCUGAUGUGAAAGGCAUGGGCUCAACCUGUGGACUGCAUUGGAAACUGUCAUACUUGAGUGCCGGAGGGGUAAGCGGAAUUCCUAGUGUAGCGGUGAAAUGCGUAGAUAUUAGGAGGAACACCAGUGGCGAAGGCGGCUUACUGGAC